GUCCUCCCAACAGAACAAACCCCCCGGCGUAAAAUGCGCCAAGGAAUCUUAAAUGAAAAGAGAAGGUAACCAGCACCCUAGCGUGCCGGGAAAGGAAAUCCCCAGGGGGGGUGGUUUCCUUGGUUAAAAAAUAAAUGAAUCUCCGCAAACGAAAUCUUGGCUCUCCCAUCCAUGAAAAAAGUAACCAAAUGGGAUACUUGGUGGGAAUUUGCAAAUCCCCUUAAACAUCCAAUUUUUUAAACCCAAUUGCCCCCAAAGCCUUCCGGGCCAAGGGACCUCUUGCUGGGUGUCAAGGUACGGUUCCCCCUCCAACUUCCUUUGUGGGGAAAUUCGAAUAAGGGUGGAAAAAUGUCUCCCUUGGGGCCCCCCUCCCCGUUGGCCCAAAAUUGAAUUCUUGGGGAAAAUUGCCCU
rnacentral:rRNA from 1 species